AUACGGAGGGUGCAAGCGUUGUUCGGAAUCACUGGGCGUAAAGGGCGCGCAGGCGGUUUGGUAAGUCAGAUGUGAAAGCCCACGGCUCAACCGUGGAAGUGCAUUUGAAACUGCCAGACUUGAGUACCAGAGGGGAAAGUGGAAUUCCCGGUGUAGUGGUGAAAUUCGUAGAUAUCGGGAGGAAUACCGGUGGCGAAGGCGACUUUCUGGCUGGAUACUGACGCUGAGGCGCGAAAGCGUGGGGAGCAAACAGGAUUAGAAACCCCGGUAGUCC
rnacentral:rRNA from 1 species